rnacentral:rRNA from 1 species
UACGUAGGGCGCAAGCGUUGUCCGGAAUUAUUGGGCGUAAAGAGCUCGUAGGCGGCCUGUUGCGUCCGCUGUGAAAUCCCGGGGCUUAACCCCGGGCGUGCAGUGGAUACGGGCAGGCUGGAGGCAGGCAGGGGAGAACGGAAUUCCCGGUGUAGCGGUGAAAUGCGCAGAUAUCGGGAGGAACACCGGUGGCGAAAGCGGCGCACUGGACCACAACUGACGCUGAGGCGCGAAAGCUAGGGGAGCAAACAGG